rnacentral:rRNA from 1 species
CCUACGGGAGGCAGCAGUGAGGAAUAUUGGUCAAUGGACGAGAGUCUGAACCAGCCAAGUAGCGUGAAGGAUGACUGCCCUAUGGGUUGUAAACUUCUUUUAUAUGGGAAUAAAAUGUUCCACGUGUGGGAUUUUGUAUGUACCAUAUGAAUAAGGAUCGGCUAACUCCGGGCCAGCAGCCGCGGUAAUACGGAGGAUCCGAGCGUUAUCCGGAUUUAUUGGGUUUAAAGGGAGCGUAGGUGGAUUUUUAAGUCAGUUGUGAAAGUUUGCGGCUCAAACGUAAAAUUGCAGUUGAAACUGGCAGUCUUGAGUAGAGUAGAGGUGGGCGGAAUGCGUGGUGUAGCGGUGAAAUGCUUAGAUAUCACGAAGAACUCCGAUUGCGAAGGCAGUUCACUGGACUGCAACUGACACUGAGGCACGAAAGUGUGGGUAUCAAACAGGAUUAGAUACCCGUGUAGUC